rnacentral:lncRNA from 1 species
AAAAGAGACGCCUGCGCACAUUCUCCUUCCUGCACCGAAUGGAAUAUACUCGAAAUUAGCUCCUUUGUAAUCGAUGGGGUUGUUUUCAAAUCUCUCGGGUACAAAACUCUCAGCAUCAACCCAAUAUUCAGGAUCUCUUCCGAUUGCCCAAGCAUUGACUAUGACUUUGGUUUUCAGGGGUAUAGUGUAUCCAUCAAUCUCGCAUUCCUUCCUGCAUUCUCUAGGGAGCAACAAGGGAACAGGUGCAUGCAGACGUAAUGUUUCUUUGAUCACAAACUUUAGGUAUUUCAAUCCUUGAAUAUCAGCUUCGUAUAUAUUUUCCUUUCCUUUGAGAGCUUGCCUCACUUCAUCUUGUGCUUUCUCCAUCGCACUAGGAUGUUUUAUUA